GUGGGGAAUAUUGGACAAUGGCCGAGAGGCUGAUCCAGCCAUGCCGCGUGCGGGAAGACGGCCCUAUGGGUUGUAAACCGCUUUUGUUGGGGAGCAAUAAGGUCCACGUGUGGAUCGAUGAGAGUACCCAGCGAAUAAGCAUCGGCUAACUCCGUGCCAGCAGCCGCGGUAAUACGGAGGAUGCAAGCGUUAUCCGGAUUUAUUGGGUUUAAAGGGUGCGUAGGCGGAUUUUUAAGCGUGAGGUGAAAUGCCCGGGCUCAACCUGGGAACUGCCUCGCGAACUGGAAGUCUGGAAUGUCCGUGCCGUGGGAGGAAUGUGUGGUGUAGCGGUGAAAUGCAUAGAGAUCACACAGAACACCGAUUGCGAAGGCAUCUCACGAACGGAUGAUUGACGCUGAGGCACGAAAGCGUGGGGAUCAAACAGG
rnacentral:rRNA from 1 species